CGACUGACAACGUGGUCGGCCCUCUGGUGGUUCAAUUUCCAUCAAAACAAAAAACAAAAGAGGGAACCGAGAUUCUUAUCUACCCGUUCCUUUCAUUCUUAAAAACUUGUCAACAAAUUUUUGUUUCUUUCCUCUCCCAGGUUUUUUAAAUGCAUUUCAAUUCAAUAUUUUUCUUUUAAAUGAUGUUUACGAUUCUCUGCCCGUAUUGCGUAGAUUGGGUGAGGUAAUACUAUCGAUAACAAUUGCCCUUGCGGAAGGUCUUGCCACUUCCUUGCCUCCCAUUAGGCGGAUGUACGCAGUUGCUUAAACAAAUUGUUUUCACAGUCUUUUUUUCCAAAAUCUUUUUUAUUUUUUAAAUUAAAAUUCCCUGGCGUGUGGUCCACCGGACCAGAAGGGGGGCUCUAAUGUCUGAUGACUUUGAAAUCACCUUCAAAAAUGUAUAUGACAACGGCUGAUGCAAUUUGGUAGUAACUUCAUUUGCAUCAGAAUACGUAAUCUGGUACUUAAACAAACAACAUCAACACCUUCAAGGACUGCCCAGAAGCGAAAACAACAACAACAACAAGCCGGUCGGCGUGAGUGUAGGACAUUUGAAGAGCAUCGGGAGCCGGAAGGCGUUCCACAGCCCAACAACAACAACAACCGAAAAAUUUCAUCUAGAAGAUUUAACCUUCACCCGUCUUUUGCCUAGAUUUUUAUUAUAUUAUUCGCUUCAUACGCACAUUCUUCUUUUUACUCUCUUCAUUCAUUUUCCCUUUUUAUAUUCGCCUCAACUGCCCAGUUGGUGAAGGUCACCUUCUUCUAUUUAGCUCGGCGGACUCGUCGCACUUCUGAUCCACUUGUUGCAUUUUUAUUUAAUACACCCGCAGGUUAUUUUACUCUG